GUUCCCCCUUCUCCCCCUAUUUCGUCGUCCUUUGGUCGUCCAACUUCACCCCGCGUACCCCUUCGUUCUGAAGCGAGGAGGACCAAACGACACCCCUCCCCUGAACGAAACAACGCCCAUCGGAUACGCCGCCAUCCCCCUUGAUCUUAGGCCACCGGAGCCUCCGCCCUCCUCCUGACGAUGGAACAGAACCACACGGGUAGGGCGAACAGGAUCUGAAGGUUUCAUCUUCAAACUUGGUGGUCUUGUUCAAAAUCUGAGCCUCCAUUUUCGGAACAGGAGUCCGACCGGAUUGGAUCGCAUCGGCGGGGUUCGGGAGAGGGGAUAAUGGUGGGAAGGAAACGGAAGGCGGAGAUGGCAGGGGAGCUAGAGUAGGGGCUAGCCUACAUCGAUGCAGCUCGGAGCCAGACGUCGUCUACCAUGGCAGGAGGGGGUGGAGGAAGAAUGGGAUUCAUUGCCUUCCAGGGCGUGGAACCAUUACCUCCUCCAGAUCCAGAUGAUCAUGAUGGCAUGCCUCGCCAGCGUUAGUGACUUGGUGCGUUUAAGCUCUCAGGGACCCGAAGAUCGACAAGCAUUGCCUCGUGCUCAAGAUGUGCCUCCUGUCUGAAAUGGAUACGAAGCAGAGACUCCCAAGGCACAAGAGCUUAUGAGUAAAUACAAAUGUGUUAUUACAAAGAACGAUGACCCCCAAGUGCUCCAAUAACUCGAUUCUGGAACUUUUGGAACUAUAUAUCAUGGUAAAUGGAGUGGCUCCGAUGUUGUAAUAAAAGUCAUUAACGAGACGUUUGCUGGGAAGCCAUCUGAGCAAGACAAAAUGCUACUCCUUAAUCUGAGUAUAGCUCUCAAUUAACAUUUAAGAUUUAUUUUUAUUUGCUUAUGCUUGUCCUUGGACUGAUAGCACCCUGGCGAUCCAUCGCCACAGUUACAGAAUACAUGGUUAUGGCUCGAUUACUUAGGAUGGCUUUGCUCAAGUAGUUUCAUGUAUCUAUCAUUGCACAUUUUAAUAAGCAGAAAUUUAUAAUCUUACAUGUAGUUGUUACUUCCUAAGUAAAAUCCAAAGCAGUUUUAGAAAAGACAGAAUAUGUGGUGUUGACAAAAAUGCAGAGAGUACAUAAACCAUAGUCAGAUAACAAUCUUGUUUCUUCCUCCCUGAAUAGGAAAACAAUAUGUUUUCUGCUGCCGUACAUGCCUGAUGUUGCCCCUCUGGAACAUGAGUAUUUUUCAUUCCCUUGUGUUUUCUGUGUGAAAAGCAUCGAGACUGAUAGCAAAAAGAAAUUACUGAUUGAUAUUGGUCAAUAUCGUCCUUUCUUGAUUUCUAAGCAAGUAAGCAUAUUUCUCACGUAUUAGCUAAAUUACUGUUAUUUUUGGUGAUGCAUCAUGAUAGCCUUCGGAAUCUUUUCUACUGGUAAUGUAUAUAAGCAUGUUUUUCUUAUUUAAUUUUAGAGCAAAUAUUUCUUUGUGUUUGUGCAUCUUCUAAAUUGAGUAGUACAAUGUCUCAUAAGGUAAAAAUAUAUAGGUUCACUGCGGUAUUGACAUCUUGUAGUCUUUAAAUAGGAAAAUCUUGGUUCAGACUUGGAGAAUCAGGGUAAGCAGCGGUGCUACGAUUGAUUGAACUGGAGUGAGUGGUCCGCAAUGUUGUCUUACUGUUACAGCUGUGCUCAUCUAAUCAUCUUGUUCAGUCUGUUGGGAUUUUUUUUUGCCUUGUGCUAUGUGAGGAAAGAAGAUUGUUGGUUUCUUAGAUUCAUAGCAUGACUCAUGGUGCUAACGGGAAUGCAGUGGUGCUUGGCAACGGUGGGUAGAGUUAUCGGGUUAAUUAAACCAUGCAUAUUCUUUUUGUUUUAAGACAUGGUGGCUUCUUGCUCACGUUUGAAUCACUUGCUGAAACUACGGAAUUUGCAAGGAGAUGGGUUCCAUUUUGCAAGAUGUAUGCCACUGAGCCACGAACCCCUGAGUUCUACUUCUCGCAGAAGAUUGACUACUUGAAGGAUAAAAUACACCCGUCUUUCGUCAAGUAGCGUAGGUCUAUGAAGGUCGAUUUCUAUUGCAUAGUUUGACUACGCCUUAUUUUGACAGCUUAGGUUUUGCUCUUGGUUAUGUAAAUAAGCAUUGUGUUUCACGCAAAGAGAUUAUCAAAAGUACAAGGUGAGGAUAAAUGCUUUAAUUGCCAAGGCUCAGAAGACACCUGAGGAAGGUUGGGUCAUGCCGGAUAGGACACAGUGGCUUGGGAACAAUUCCCGUGACCACCCUGACAUGAUUCGCUACUGAAAGCUCAAUCUAGGAAAUUUAUGGUCAUAUGGGUCAAUCGUUUUAUAAGACCAUAUGAGGUGAUCCUUGACAGUAAUUGUAUGUUCUUACCUCAUAGGCAUGAGAAUGUUGAAGUUUAUACAUGUUAUAGUACUGCAGUUUACGCUUCCAUUUAGACUUGAAAGUUCCAUA